GUGUUGGGCCUUUUUCGAUAAGUUUGUCUCUAUACCAAUUACCCUCCCUUUCCUUAUGUUGCUGGAAAAGAGAUACGGCGAAAUGUGACCCGUAUCUCGGCGCCCGAUUUGGAAUUACCACAACACCAUCGUUUCCCCCCCUUUCAUCCCUCCCACCCCUCCCUUCUCGCUUCACUCCCUCGAACAGUUGAAGUAAAGCGCGCAGACGGCCCUGCUACGAAAAGGCGUAAAGGGAAAAAAAGGAGGAAAGGGAAGCUUAAACCACCCCGUCUGUGGGGUAAUUGCAUUAUGUGAGACAAAACAUGGAGGAGAUCUACGAUCAAUAGCAGAUCAAAUGGCAGAUCAUUUCCUUUGCGAUCAUUUUGUUUUGUUUUAUUUUAAUUUAUCCAUUUAUCCAUUUAUUAUUAUCAGUUGCAUUAACAUUUACCAAAUAAUCAAAUCUCUCCCCCUCGCCCCUUUCAACAUCUCCCAUUCUACAUGCUACUGUAGAUACGUGUAGAUAGAUACUGUAUUUUUUUUUUUUUUUUUUUUUUUUGUUGUUGAGGGAAGGGGGUCGCCUGGAAGACUGUCUCUUUGACUUUGCUCUCAUCCCGCCUAGGACUUUAUAUCAUUGGCACGGGAAUUCCCUCCGAUCGUUUUUGUUGAAGCUUCUAUGUACUGUACGGAGCACGG
rnacentral:sRNA from 1 species